AGCCAGGCCACCUGUCGGAUUAUCAUCCUCCAAAUCCUGCAUCAAUAUAAGAGACAGAGGAUCAUGGUUCAUUCUGGAAAUGAUCUGGCAGAUGUCCAGAGCGAAGACUAAAGGAAAACCUGGGUGGUGUGCCAGUUAUCCAUUUAUCGCCUCCAGCUCCAAGCUUGCCUUCCGGUUCCUGCUCUGCAGUCCCGGCUCGACUCGAAGCCAGUCUCCCUCCAGAAAGCACAAUGUUAAGCUUUGUCAGUAGAGGG
rnacentral:lncRNA from 1 species